GAUCAUUACCGAGUGAGGGCCCUCUGGGUCCAACCUCCCACCCGUGUUUAUUUUACCUUGUUGCUUCGGCGGGCCCGCCUUAACUGGCCGCCGGGGGGCUCACGCCCCCGGGCCCGCGCCCGCCGAAGACACCCUCGAACUCUGUCUGAAGAUUGAAGUCUGAGUGAAAAUAUAAAUUAUUUAAAACUUUCAACAACGGAUCUCUUGGUUCCGGCAUCGAUGAAGAACGCAGCGAAAUGCGAUACGUAAUGUGAAUUGCAAAUUCAGUGAAUCAUCGAGUCUUUGAACGCACAUUGCGCCCCCUGGUAUUCCGGGGGGCAUGCCUGUCCGAGCGUCAUUGCUGCCCUCAAGCCCGGCUUGUGUGUUGGGCCCCGUCCUCCGAUCUCCGGGGGACGGGCCCGAAAGGCAGCGGCGGCACCGCGUCCGGUCCUCGAGCGUAUGGGGCUUUGUCACCCGCUCUGUAGGCCCGGCCGGCGCUUGCCGAUCAACCCAAAUUUUUAUCCAGGUUGACCUCGGAUCAGGUAGGGAUACCCGCUGAACUUAAGCAUAUCA
rnacentral:misc_RNA from 1 species